CUGUCUCUCUCGUCUUUACGCCGCUCAUCCUCUCCUCUCUACCUGCAGGUUGGUUUCUUCCCCUGCGACUGUGUUGAGCUGAUAAAUGACAAGAUCCCCCCCAGUGUUCAAAGCUCGGUGCCAAAACCAGUGUGUAAGAAGCAUGGGAAGCUGGUAACAUUCCUGAGGACUUUUAUGAAGUCCCGACCCCCACCUCAGAAGCUGCGGCAGCGCGGCAUCCUCAGAGAGAGAGUGUUUGGCUGUGACCUGGGGGAACAUCUCCACAACUCAGGACAUGAGGUCCCGCAGGUUGUUAAGAGCUGUGCUGACUUCAUAGAGAAACAUGGCGUUGUGGAUGGUAUCUACAGGCUGUCUGGGAUCUCCUCCAACAUCCAGAA